ensembl:lncRNA
GACAGAAGAAUCUCAGUGCAUGACAGUGAGGAUGUUGGGCUGAUUAAAAAAAUGGGGAUGGGGAGCCCCUUGGUGCUCCAAGGAAAAGACAUGGGAAGGAGGGAGAGCUUGAGGGCUUUAACCUGCGCUAAGAGCCUGGAGAGAUGGCAGAGACACCGGCUGCAUUUGUCAUCUGGGGAGAGGAUGAGUCCUUCAGUGGGAGAAGUGAUUGUUUUUAACCUGAAUGCAGACAGCUGGCCAGAAGACACGUGCAGGAUGACUGGAGGCGGUGGGACAGAGUCAGUGCAGGAGACAGCACCGUCAACCAGAGCAGCAGUAGCUUUUUCUCAGGUGAAAAGUGAAAGGAUGUGAGGAAAUGGCCUCACAUUGCAUCAGUGAAGGCUUAGAUUAGAUGUCAGGAGGAAUUUCUUCAUGGAAAGUGUGGUUACACAUUGGUACUGGCUACCCAGGGAAGUAGUGGAGUUUUCAUCCCUGGAGGUAUUUAAGAGAUAUUGGGAUGUGGUGCUUAGGGACAUGGUUUAGUGGUGGACGCAGUAGUGUUAGGUGGUGGUUGGACUUGGUGAUCUUACAUGUCUUUUCCAACUGAAGUGAUCCUGUGAUGUGAGCACCAGGUCACAGUCUGGACAUCCCAUGUUGCUUAGGCUGAGUUUUCAAAGUGCCUUUUAUCCUUCUAAGGAGGAUUAAAAGAAGAACAAACAACAGUGAAUGUUAUGAUAGCUCAAUACAAGUAGUUAUAUGCAUCUACUGCUACACGUAAGCAACAAUGGAAAAUGUGGCAGGCUAAUUAACAGCAAUCAGGUAAAACCACGAGGAGUAAGCAAAGCAGUAACACAGGUUUGUCUGCAUAUAAAUCAAUGAACUCCUACUGAAUAGGGAAAUCCAUGAACACUCAGUAACAUGAGGCAGUUCCAGACUGGUGUGUGGGAGACACUAAAAUACUGUUUACAGAUAUUCUUAUCUACGGCUCCUCCCUGAUAGUCUUGAAUGUGGCACAGCCUCAGGAGAGGGAAUAAGUACUAAAAUCAGAAAAAAAUACUAUCAAUGAGGGAGGUCUGGAAGCUACCUCUGCUGAGUCAUGGUGGAUUGGUGCUGUUGAAAGGAGGUGAGAAGCACUGUGUUACAACUUUGCUUUUGCUUUCCCCCAUUAAUUCUUUGUCCUCCCCCACCAAAAUAAGAGUAAACCAAAAUUCCUCUAAAGAUUACUACUGACUGAAUCACGUUCCUGUUCAGCAUGACAGAAUUCCAAAGCCUCUACCACCCUUUGUCACAAUGGAAGAGAUGCUGCAAUGGGCAAAAGCAUUUUGUCAAAGCCCUUUGCCAGCAAAGUGGUAAUCAUAGCACAGGCACUAUCUGGCAUUUGAAAACAGUAGAAGUCCAAAUCCAAGAUUUUAUCUAUCUAUCUAUCUAUCUAUUUAUUUUGCUGGGGGGAGGAGAGGGUGGAGAUGGAGUUCAGAUGCAAUUAUACCACUUCAUCUUGACAACUGUAAAAGAAAUUGGGAAAACAAAGUAGCUAGCUGACAGACACAACUGUGAUUGGUACAAAAACUGGAUGGAUAUUACAAGAGAAGCCCAGAGAGAAGGAGCCAGCAGUCUCCUGCCUCCCGUACCAGCAUAAGCAAGAUCAAAAAAUUGUGGUACCUAGCUCAGAUAGUUUUCAGAAAGCAGAGUUUCAAAUAUUUCUGAUGCCCGUUUGCUCUUCCUCAUGAUUGCCUAGAUAAAGAGAAUACGCUGAAUUCACCCAUAUUUUGGACUCCACUGUAGAGUUCAUUAUGGUAGUUAGGGCAGUGAAUCUCACAAGAGAGGUGUUCUGCCUGACAGUCCUAUUUUUAACAAUAAAAUAAAUUAAUACAUUAGCAUAUUCCUUUGCUGAAUGGGUUCCUAUACCUUCAACACAUCUGCAUCAAACAUCCUUUCCUUUUAUCUCCAACUCAGCUCAGUUGGAAAUCCCAAUGGGAAGAUGGUUGAAAGGAGGUUGUAGUAACAUGGGGGUCAGCCUUUCCUCCUAGGUAACAGCAAUAGGGAAUGGCUCAAGUUGCAGCAGGCGAGGUUUGGAUUGGAUAUUAAGAAAAAUUUCUUCACAGGAUGAGUGGUGCUGCAGUGGCACAGGCUGCCCAGGGAGGUGGUGGAGUCACCGUCCCUGGACGUGUUCCAGAGCCGUGUGGAUGUGGCACUGAGGGCAUGGCCAGUGGGCACGGUGGGGAUGGGCUGAUGGUUGGACUCGAUGAUCUUAAAUGUUUUUCCUAUGUUAAUGGUUUUAUGAUUCUACAAGGCAGUAAGUAUUCACCAAUCAGAAGGCAGGAGCUCUCCAGUCCUGGUAGCUUCAGAAAAAUAGGAGUGAGCAGAGAAACAGCUCUUGGUAACUUGCCAUUGCAAAGUGAUGACAUCCCUCCUUCCACUCCCCCUCCCCACCCCUGGGUAUUUUUUUUUUUCCUCCCUCUGCUCAACACAAUCAUGAAUAUUAUUUCUCACCUUAUCUUCAAAAUCACCAAUUCUUAUCUGUGCUAAGAGGAAGGGGAUAAAAGCCAUAUUCAGCCUCAGGAAUACUCUCCCACCCGUCUGCUGUUUCAGUAUGAGUUGAAAAAGGAAGGAUGGGACAGAAUGCAAGAGCUUCAGGGAGGUUUUACCAAGACACACAGGAAAUUCUGUACAGGGUCUGCAGUCAUUCAAGAUAACUGGUUGUACAAGUCUGAAUGGGAAUAUUGCAAGUAAUUCUGAGGAAUCAGGAAAGAUGGGAAAAGAAAGAGGCCAGAGGCCUGGCAAUACCACACGAAUGCAAACCGUCAGCUGCACCAAACCCUUUUCACUCCUGGAGUCAAAAACAAUGCCCCAUUCUCUUACCUUCCUUUGGUCACAAAGUGGGACAAAGUACCUGCAUUUACCUACGUUUUUCAUGCUGGGGUUGGACUAGCAAAGACAGCUUCUUCAGAAGCCCAUCCAUCAGCUGCCUUCGGUUAGAAAGGAGCCUGAAGCUGAGAAAGAUUCCUUCUAACUGGCUCAGCAAUACUUCAGCUGGCAUUUCUGUGAAGAUCAGCUGAGGGCACGACAUGCAAUAGCGUACCGUACAGGAGUCGCACUUCAAGUCAGAGACUGGAACGUGUCAGUUUACUUCAAGAGCAGUCUAAUCUCAUCUCUUUACGUAGGAGUAUACACACUUGUGAGCACUGAAAAGGGUACUUCAAAAUGUUUUAUAUAUUAAACAGUAACAAAAUUAAAUGCAAUUCAUACGGAUAACAUUUCUAAAUCAGUUCAUUUUCUACUUAAAAAUUGACUCUUUUCUUUAAUAAAUAAGUUCCUUGAAGAAAAAAGACAAAAGUAGGAAUUAUCUUCAGUCUCAGCCAGGUCUUUAUCAUCCAAAAAUGUUUUUAACCUUCUAAUUUCAGCAAUGAUUGAAGGAAGAGGACAUAAAAUCUGCACCAAGUAUAAAUUUCAAGAAUGCUUCUAUUUGCCAUUUGCACGUUAAAUGAUGUUUUUUUGAAGAAGUAAUAGACACAAUAAAGAAGAUAACGCAAAUUGUUCUUUCUUGACACUGCAGAUCUCUAAAAGCUUCCUGAAAUGGCGUAACUGUAUUGUCAGUCCAGCUGCCUCCAGAUAAAAUGAAAUAAUGCUUUGUGGCACAAGCAGGUUAUGACAGUCUGAAUGGAAGAGCCUGAGCAGAACAAAACUCAAAAUGGAGCAAGGCUCCCCGACAGCAAAAUAACAAUGUGACCGACUUGAAAAGACAGAGGGAAUAAUGAAAUCAGAACAAGUGGUAGAGACUUACCAUCACGGUGUGCUCAGUUUGCUGCUCCGGAUAGUUACUUCUCUUGGAUUAAUUACUGAAGAAAGGAAAAUAGGUGUAUUUGUAGGUCACCCUAUUUGAGCUGGAAGGGUGGAAGAACGCAUGGUGCUGUGCAGGGCUGGUCAUAUGGGAGUUCUCACCCUUCUCCUCCAGGUGAGGAAUUAGGCUUCAUAGAGGCAUCUCUUGGUCAGUGGUUGGUGCUGGGAGUGGCUGCUGGGUCAGCUUCCUCCAAACCCUCUCCAGACUUUUUUCCAGAGCAAAUCCCAGUGAUGAACUCUGUAAGAGGUCAUCCCUCCUUUUACUACAUUGAAUGAUAUUCAUACCUUCCAGUAUACAAUCUGGAGCAAGCUUUCCAAAGGAAACCAAUCCAUUGUGCUGAAAAAAAUCACACAACGGAAUGAAAAUAUCUCCUUGUGCAGCCCGUUUGGUCCCUGUUAGAUGCAUUAGAUGGAUCAAUACCAGUUUACCAAGCUGGGUGGAAGAAGGUUGGAGCUACAUUAAAUUUGUUUCAUGCCUGCUUGAUUUCAAAUGUGAAGCAAGAACAAUAAAUGGACAUUGAGGAUUUCAAAGAGAACCUUUGCUGUUGGGGAAGUUAAAGUGAUCAAAUUUGAAAGAACAUAGACAAUGACAAGAUAUCUUUUCUGAGACACCAAAUCCUGAGCUUGGAAUGACGCAAUGGCAGCAACAACGCAUGGGAAAACUCAGUUCUCUCCCUUGUGCUUACACUUCAAGACUGGAGCUUUUUCCUCUGCACUGACGUGAGCAGAGUGAGAUCUGCACAGCCAGGUCAUUCAGGGAACAAACGGAGACUUGAAUGAGGUCUGGACUGUGCUCAUGUCCCACACAAUUGCUCGUUUUACCAGAGCAAACAAAGGAUGGCAAAAAGAGGGGAAGGCCCCAAUAAAGAAUGGAUUCAGGCCCAGAGGAGCCACUGUGCAGUCCUUCCUGCAACUUCGCAUUUAAUUUUUAAACACAUAAAGAUUAUGUCAAGUACUAGGGAAAAGAAUUAAAGAGAUUGCGAUACUUACAGGAAGACUUGAUUUUCUUUUGUGUAUGUGUGCAAGAUCUUUCCUACCAGAGAAGAGUCAUGCGACAUAUAUGUCUCUCCAUUGCUAGUUUUCUGCCUUUCCUCUCUGGUUCUUCAUCCUUCCAGAUUUGCCUUUGCUAAUUCUCAUCAGAGAAAUAUUACUGACAGAGGAGACAAAAUUCAGAGCUGCAGAUGUUUUUAUAGCACAGUCACAGUUUCCCUGUCAAAGCAACAGUGAACUCAGAGCAGGUAUCUGUGCUCUUCGUGAACCAGAUUAAACUGCUCCUUGUCCUCUCUAUAAAGCCUGCAGUGGAAGCCAAAGUAAGUUGUAUGGAUCUGUAAUGAAAAGGACUCUUCACACCUGGAGCAAAGAGCUGAAUGAAACAAUUCCCCAUCCCAGCAUUCUCCUCCCCAGUCUCCAGAUGAAGGUCUGAUGCCUUACUGGGAAUCCACUGCUGUCACACAUAAGCUACCAGGCCUGGCAAUAAAUAAAGCAGGAAAGUAAGAUAAAACGAUACAUUUCCGUUCUGGUUUUUGAGAGCAAUAAUGACAUCUUUCAGCAGCACAUUCUCACCUUUCUUUGGAAAGGCACUCACCUGCUGCGAAUCACGGACUGCUGUCUCCUCAAAAACCUCACAGAGCAGGGAAACUACAUUAUACCACAGGAAGAAAAAUGAAGAUGGAGGCAAUGUUAGGGGUACACGGCAGUGAUUUACAGUAAAAUAUACUGCAGAGAUAAUGUAAUUAUUCAAAGCCCAGAAACUAUAACCCUUGGACAUUCUAAGUUAAAAUCAAAUUUAACGAGAAAACCAAAUGAAGCACAAAGAAAUGCAAAGCCGAAACAUCCAAAAAAUCUCAAUUAUGCUUGGUUAAAAGCUCUUCAAAAUCUCUAACCAGCUAAAAGGCACAACAUUUGUGUGCAUAAUAUGCGUGUGUUUAUGUAUAAACUAAUACACGCAUGCUUCUGAAGAUGAAUCAUACAUUUCCACUUCAUACUUUGUAACUGGAAAUUCAUUAGAAAUCUCUUUCUGUUUCGCAGAAAAGGGCAAAAGAAAAAAAUAUACUGCAGGCCUUUAGAAAUCUCUUAAUCGUAUCCAAGUCCACAAUUGUAGAACCAUCUCAAUAAGAAUGGUGUGUUUUUGCCUGGUUACAGUCACCACAGUAACACCCAUGUAGCUGCUAAAAAGCUCAUCUGGAAAAAAAAGUGCAGGGGAAAGCAUAAAUUAGAGAGCAAUAUAUGAACCAGAUAUCUGCAGUGCAUCAGAGGGAUCUCAGCAAGGCCUCAUGGAGUCUUAGAACAGUGCAAGGAGCACACUGGAGGCUACAUACAGCUCUUUUGGCUGCAG